GCUCGAGACAGUCUUCGACUUGAGGCUGGCCUGUGUUUAUACGGAAAUGACAUGGAACAACAUACGACACCAGUCGAAGCGGGAUUAGCAUGGGCCAUUGGAAAAAGGAGGAGAGCAGAAGGUGGUUUUCUCGGUGCUGAAGUGAUUCUGAAACAACUCGAAGAGGGCCCAGCCAUAAGGCGUGUUGGUUUCUUCUCUUCAGGUCCCCCUGCAAGAAGCCACAGUGAGAUUCAGAAUGAGGAAGGAAAAAACAUUGGAGAAGUCACCAGUGGAGGAUUUAGCCCUUGCCUCAAGAAGAACAUUGCUAUGGGUUAUGUGAAAUCUGGAUCUCACAAAGCUGGCACCAAAGUUAAGAUUAUUGUCAGAGGAAAGGCCUACGAUGGUGUUGUCACUAAAAUGCCAUUCGUUCCUACAAAAUACUACAAGCCAACAUAAUUCAUGUCUACUAUGUUGUCCUGCUCUAUCAAGAUUUUUCUGAUCUGACCCUUCUCUUCUGACCAAAUUCUGUAUUUCCAAGAUGUCAG
rnacentral:misc_RNA from 1 species